GGUUAAGCGACUAAGCGUACACGGUGGAUGCCCUGGCAGUCAGAGGCGAUGAAGGGCGUGCUAAUCUGCGAUAAGCGCCGGUAAGGUGAUAUGAACCGUUAUAACCGGCGAUACCCGAAUGGGGAAACCAACC
rnacentral:rRNA from 1 species